GUGAGGAAUUUUGCGCAAUGGGGGCAACCCUGACGCAGCGACGCCGCGUGGAGGACGAAGUCUUUCGGGAUGUAAACUCCUGUCAGUGGGGACGAUAAUGACGGUACCCACAGAGGAAGCACCGGCUAACUCCGUGCCAGCAGCCGCGGUAAGACGGAGGGUGCAAGCGUUGUUCGGAAUUACUGGGCGUAAAGCGUAUGUAGGCGGCAAGUUAAGUUCAAUGUUAAAGCCCACGGCUCAACCGAGGAGAUGCAUUGAAUACUGGCUAGCUAGAGGGUGUUAGAGGAAGACGGAAUUCCCAGUGUAGCGGUGAAAUGCGUAGAUAUUGGGAGGAACAUCGGUAGCGAAAGCGGUCUUCUGGGACAUACCCGACGCUGAGGUACGAAAGCGUGGGGAGCAAACGGGAUUAGAAACCCCAGUAGUCC
rnacentral:rRNA from 1 species